ensembl:piRNA 21ur-12931 ncRNA
UUCUUCUGAGCGGGUUAGAUC